rnacentral:rRNA from 1 species
CCUACGGGAGGCAGCAGUGGGGAAUCUUGCGCAAUGGGCGAAAGCCUGACGCAGCCAUGCCGCGUGAAUGAUGAAGGUCUUAGGAUUGUAAAAUUCUUUCACCGAGGACGAUAAUGACGGUACUCGGAGAAGAAGCCCCGGCUAACUUCGUGCCAGCAGCCGCGGUAAUACGAAGGGGGCUAGCGUUGCUCGGAAUUACUGGGCGUAAAGGGAGCGUAGGCGGAUAGUUUAGUCAGAGGUGAAAGCCCAGGGCUCAACCUUGGAAUUGCCUUUGAUACUGGCUAUCUUGAGUACGGAAGAGGUAUGUGGAACUCCGAGUGUAGAGGUGAAAUUCGUAGAUAUUCGGAAGAACACCAGUGGCGAAGGCGACAUACUGGUCCGUUACUGACGCUGAGGCUCGAAAGCGUGGGGAGCAAACAGGAUUAGAUACCCUGGUAGUCCACGCUGUAACGAUGAGUGCUAGUUGUCGGCGAUGCAUGCAUGUCGGUGACGCAGCUACGCAUUAAGCACUCCGCCGUGGGGAGGUACGGUCGCGAAGAAGUUAAACUUACAAGUAGUUAGUUAGCGNGNGAGNGCGACGACGACGACGAGGAGGAGG